ACGACAGUUGCUGAUUGGAGAAUGAGCCUGUGCGCCUGGCAAGAAGCAGUGUGAUGAUUGGUCAGCUAAGAUGAGCGAGGAGGGCGCGGGACCAGGUCCAGCUCUGCGGCUCCGCCCCCGGAAAAAUUUCCGCCGGAAGUUUCGUCCCCCAGGGAGCGGGAACUUGGGCGACCGGUGUCUUGGGAAUGGGUGUCUGUUACAUGGGCUUUAGCACGAGCUGGGCGUUUGGCCGAGUCCCACCGAACUGCCUAGGGCCUUGUGGCCGGGGGAAGCCAACCCCCUGCUCUGAGAAGCGGACUCUCCAUCUGUAAAAGGCUAGGCAUGCCCACUGGGGCCUGUGGUCAGGAUUGGCGAGUCAAGUCUGCAAAGCCCCUAACGCAUCCUGCGCCCUUCGUUAGGGUGAGCACUGAUGGGGACUCGCAUUGCGCCAACAGGUAGCGGGGUCUCAUCACUGGGUCCGCUCGUCUGCUCGCGGAGACUGCCCCGUGAGGACUGGCGCUCGCCUGCUUUGCCCACCGUGUAGCCUCAGCCUCCACCCAUAUCCACAGUAGGCAUCCAUUCCAUUGGUGUUCGCUAAAUGAUUGAAUUAUGACUGUGAGUGAAUUAUCAUGUGAAUGAUAGUAAUUGUUGUCGCCGACCCUAUGGAGCACCUCCCUUUGCCAGGCACUCCCAUCCUGGCAAUCUUAGAAGAACGCCCCACCUCUGGAAUCGAGAAGCAGUCGGGAAGAGCAGUUUUGUGUUUCCUCCUACACCUGGGCAACAGGCAGGCCCCUGACAACCGCAAGUAAUUCUCUUCACGGAGAGCCUGGAUCUCACAACAGCUUGUCAUUAGUGCUGUUUAGCAUUUAAUUUGCCUUUAGUUAGGUAACAAGCAUUUACGGAUUACCUGUUAGGAAUGAGUGCGCAGUAUGGGGACAGAGGGAUGAAUGAGGCACAGACUCUGCUCACAGCCUACUUGGGGCUAGAAAUAGUUACUCAGGAAAGAAAACUUGAAAGCAGUUAACAAAUGCAAACGAUACACCAUUCUGGGGAAUCAUCACGCUUUCAGAAUGCAAGACUGCAACUCCUGGCACACGUCUAAGGAAAAAUGUAUGUGCUGCCGCAUUUCAUCUCAUGAUGGGAGUGAGGAUAUGCGGUCACUCCUUCUGUGGGCCAAGGAAUGAUCUGGCUUUCUCUUCCUCUGCAGAGUCCCUGCAUGGUAGAGACCCAGGAUGGAGGCGGCCACCACCACCCAUUGAAAAUCAGCCUGUCAGGCUGGGUGUGGCAGUUCACACCUGUAAUCCCAGCACUUUGGGAGGCUGAGGUGGGUGGAUCACAAGGUCAGGAGAUCAAGACCAUCCUGGCUAACACGGUGAAACUCCAUCUCUACUAAAAAUACAAAAAAUUAGCCAGGCAUGCUGGCACACGCCUGUAGUCCCAGAUACUUGGGGACGCUGAGGCAGGAGAAUUGCUUGAACCUGAGAGGCGGAGGUUGCAGUGAGCCAAGAUCGCACCACUGCACUCCAGCCUGGGCGACAGAGGGAGACUGUCUCAAAAAAAAGAGAAAAAAAUCAGCCUAUUUGCCCAAUCUGGCCAACCCCUAAGGCCUCUGGCAAAACACUGAAGCCUAGGUGUGUCCAGGUUGGCAGUGAGCUGGGAUUCAUUCAUGGCGGCCCCCAGGAGAUUGAGUUUUUAAACCAGCCUGAGGCAGGUGGUGGACAUGGAUUGGCAGCACUUACAGAUGGCAGGGAAGGCUUUCCAAGGGGCUGAACAGUCCAUCACUGUUAGGGAAGCGAACGUUAGAAGGGCAGCUCAGAGCGAGCCAUGUGGCUGGGCCAGAGAGAGCCUUCCAAGUAUGUAGCCAGUGGAGGCAGCUGGACACAGCUGAUGUGACACGGCCAGGCUGGAUCUGUGAGAUGCUGGGAGUGCUCCAACCAUCCGGCUUUACGGAGCACUACUUCUGUGCUAACUUCCUGACGCCAAGGAAAGUGAGAGAGACAUAGCCCUGGCCUCAAGAAGCUUUCCUGGCAGAUGGCUGUGUAUCCGGGAUAUGUUAAGAGAAGUGUAAUAUUAAGCAAAAGUGGAACUCUGAGCCCCCACCAUUGGCAGAGGGCUUCUUAGAGUAGGUCGUGCCUGGAAUGCACUGAAUCAGGGUAAGCCGGGUCAAGCAGGGGAACAGCAACCCAGGCGGAGGGAAGUGUAUACAUGGGACACAGAGGGUGCAGACAGCCAUGGUUCUGUGGCAGUGAGAUGGGCGCCAGGCCACCAAAUGGAUCUGAGAGAUUAUUUCCCCAUCUGGGUAUUGCAUGUACUAUGGAUUGUAAAGGGGUGACCUGCGAGAGGGAAACACUGGGGGAAAGGGCCCUGAGCCAUUCACUUCAGUGUUGGGGGAUGCGUGGACUGGGGAAGGGGCUCCGGCUGGCUCCCAUGCAGUCUGACUCUGUAGGCAGGGCCUUGCUCACACUAUCUUCAGACUUCCAUUCCCAGCUGGUCCCCAGCACCACAAAUACAUGUAAAGAUAACAACUCUAAAGAGGGAGAAAAUGUAAUUUUUUGGUCGAUUUUUAUUUUUCAAACACAUUUAGCAUUCUCUGGUUUUUAAAAAAUGCUUUUAAUAGAGCACAGACUCCUUUCCUCAGUGGUGAGGAGACAGAUUUAAGGGCUGCAGCUCAGACAUUCAGUGCCAGCUAGCAUUCAGGGAUCCAAGUGUGAGAAUCAAAUUGUCGUUUGAUGUGUGGAUUUGGCAAAGGCUCAGCACGCCUUGGAGACAGUGCCCGUGGCCCACGCUGUGUGGCAGGUGCUUCUGCCUUGGGCUGUCUCUGCUCCUGCCGGCCCAGCCUGUCAUCGGCUGAAAAGUCGGCGUCUCCCACACCCAUCAACUCCUCUCUGGCACUGAGUUGAUGGAUGGUGUGACCACACUUAAGAGGCACAGCAUGCUCCUGCUGGGUGGAAUUUUAAGACACCUGGUCUGUGACCUCUUCAUUAUGAGAUGAAAGGGGCCCUCCCUGCAGUCCCACAGAUAGGGGCAGAGUGGCACCAAAGCUGGCGCCCGAGCAGCAGGGAAGGGUUCUGUCCUCAUUUGGGCAUGUUGUUUCUUCCCACCUGGUAUGUGCCCUCCCUGACUCCUGCCCCGUUUCCAGCCUCAGCUCAUAUGUACUCCUCACGCUAAGCAGCCUCCCUGAAGCCACCUGCUUGGAAUCUCUGUGGUGCCGACUGUCCACCCCGCCCCUUUUGUUUGCCCGUUUGUUAUGGAGGUGUGUGUUUAAACAGGCAAAGCAGCGUGUUGCCAGGGAUGCCAGGAAAGCCCAUUUAGCCAUCAACUGGAGACUGACAACUAGAAGAAACCUUGGAGGCCAUGUGACAGAUAUAGAGACAGGCUGAGAGAAGACGGGGGAUGUGCCCAGGUCAUACAGCCAACCAGGGACAAAGUCAGGACUUUGGAGCCCAGGUCCUCUGCUGCCUCACCAGGCCUCCUUCCAUAAGGCUGUGGGCAAUCGCCAGAGCAGAGCCCCAAGGGAACGGAAUGGAGGGGAACUCGAUUAGAAGGGGCAGAAGACCAAGGCCAGGUCACCAGGACUCAGCACAGGGCCUUGCAGAGCAGGUGCUCCUAAAUGCCCAAGAGAUGCAGGAAGAGAGGGGGAGAUGGGGGUGCCAAGGAUCUCAGCAGCUCCAUGGGAAUCACAUUUUUGGGCUUGGGACAGAGAAAGAAGGGUUGAAGGAAGGGCACCAGAAACACAGCUGUGCCUGGAAUUGGAGAGCCAGUGACCUCGGAAAGGACGUUGCAGACAGUGGGGAAGAACACGAGCCAGGCUGCACUUGUAGGAAGGACUGGGACCUGGGCCACUGGCAGUAAGGAAACGUCACUAUGGAAAUGGGGGCAAUGGCAGGAAGUGGGGGGCCAGGGUGAGGAGACAGGAGCCCAGCCUGGGUCUCGUCUGGGAAGAUGCAGCCUCUGUGGGCCAAGCAGGGACAGGAAAACCUGACGUACAGUCCCUACUCUCUGGACAUCCCUGUCUCUGAGGGAGACAACCACACAACACUGAGGUGGGGCAGUGAGAAAGCAGGGACCACUGGGGAGCAUGGGGGACAUGCUUGCCCGGCAGAGGAGGCAGGGCUGGGCAGCUCAGGUGAGGGAAGUGAUCGUCCUGAGGACCCUGGCUGUGGUAGCAGCUGCCGAGGGUGGCUCCGAGUGGAAGGGCUGUUCCAGGAGCUGGUGAGCUUACCAGAGACAGGAUGUCCCUUGCCAGGGGUGUCACAGAGGCUGUUCCUCAGCUGGGUAAUGCUGGGCCACCUGACCCAGGGGCCCUCCCCAUCUGAAAAUGCACAUUGUACAAUAGAGUAGAAGGGGAUGUCGAUGGGCAGGAAUGGAGCCAAACUCUGUGGAGAACGGAGUUGGCCAGGCAGAGCUGCCGGACACCCGAGGCUCCCUCCUUCCACCACAAACAGCAAUGCCCCACGGCCUAGAGAGGUGGGUAAAAACAGAUCUCCACUAAGAUCUCCCAGGACAGGUCCUGUGCAUGGUGGCGCCUGUACCUGAGGGGAUCCCUCUCUGCAGUGCUGGGGACAUCGUGGAUGCCCACCUAGCAGUGCUCACACACCUCCCCACCACCUGCUGACAAAUGCAGCUUGGCCACCCUGGGCCCUGGUGGGCUGGCAGGGAGCAGGGCUGACACAGACUCAUUUUAUUUAUUCUCACAAAGGAGUGUCACCAUUGUUAGAACAAUCCUCUGACGUGAGCAGGACAGUGAUGAUCACCACUGUGUAAAUUGUGACUCUGGACCAGAGGAAGUGACUUACCUGCUUCAGGUCAGAAAGCCGUGGAAUCUGCUGACCAAACGAGUUGGUGUCAGAGCCCAGUCAGGAGGAGGGCGACGCAUGCCCAGCCCGGGCAGGGGCCGCAGUUGAAGGCCACCAUUUGAGAGUUCAGGGACUUGCUUGGCAAAAAGUAUGUAUGUACACACACACACGUGCGGAAUCUCAAUUGGUCUGUGAAAUGAAAACGCAGGCAAUCACUGGCUUACACUUAGAGGGCUCUGACAUUCGAGGCUGCCGUGGUGGAUUGUUGUGUAAAGGGACUAGGCCGAGGGCUGCCCAGGACUGUCGCCCAUUCCCUGCCUGUCCAGGUGUUCCUCACCCUCAGGACGCAGCUCAGACCCCACACCCCAUGCCAUCGAGCCAGCCCAGUGGCUCCCUCCUCCCGACCCUGUCUACCUCGGGGUUCUCAGGGCACCAUUUGCCUUGGCUUGUUUUCCCUGCCUUAGCUCCAGGUGAGCACAGCAGGAACCAUGCUCAGAAGCCAGCACACAAAGACCAGAGACCACAGACCCCUAGGGAACCUUGGAGAUGCUCUCAGAUAGUCCCCGCCCCACUUUGCAGAUGUAGUGACUCACAGCCGGGACAAAGGUUCCCUCGCUCAUGCCCCUGAGGUCUACCCACACAGCAGCCAGGGGAACUUCUAAAAAUGCAAAGCAGGUGGCGUUCUUCUGAGUAAGCCCUCCCAAGGCUUCCUAUCUUAGUACAAAAGCUGAAAUCUCAUGACCUGUAUGUGAAGCCCUCCAGCUGGCUCGUGGCCACCCUUCCAAAACCAAGCGCCUGCCAGCACACUGCCCACCCAGCUACAGCCGGGCCAUCUCCUCAGAGGCCACCCGCCCCCAUUCUUUCACGGGUAUGUUCCCUGUCCCCUUACAGCAUGCUUGAGCCUGAAUUCAUCUUGGGUUCUGUCGCCUGUUUCCCCCACUGGAAUGCAAACUCCACGGAGGCAGGGCUUUCUCUGCCCACUGCCACAUCCUCAGUGCCUGGAACAGCGCCUGGCAUGGAGCAGGUGCGGUCGAAUGACCGGCUCCAUAAAGCGAGGUGUAACAUGAACCGUGCAGGGAUGAGCAGACGUGGCUGAAUCGGCACUGCCUGGGCUCCAGGUGCACUGACUGUAUCCUGGCUGCUUGAUGACAUGUGGUUAACACAUGACAAGAGGGCAAGCCCUCUAGGACACAGCAGACCAGACACUUGAUUAAUUAGCUCAGGGUCUGUGUCAAUUCUAGGUGCCGAAAUAAUGUCUAGGAUUUCACCUGGGACCUGGAAGUAGUAGUUCAUUUGACAGUAAACAUAAGUUUUGGAAGGCUCAAGCUUUCUCAAGGAAAGCAAUGCCCUGGACUUUCCUUCCACAAGAAAUCAGCAAGACAGACUGGAAUUCCCAGUGGGGAAGCGCAAUUGGCGGGCUGGCCUCGGGCACCAGUGCGCAAUGCUGGGCACGGGCCCCCAGGCAGGCUGACUGGGAGUUGCCCACACCUGGACCAAGGUGCACCCACCUCUCCCCAUGCAUUUCUCCUUUCUCCUCCACCCCCAUUUAUAGAAGUGAUCAGAGAUUAAUGAGGAAAUGGGGGGUAACUGACGCCCUCGAAAGUCUGAAUUUGAGUGAAAUAAUGGGGAGAAAUGACCCCUUGGCAAGUCUGAAUGCUACUUCAUCAAAGCCCAACACAGACCUGUUUCCCUCUGCUGUCAACCCCAGGGAAUGGGCUGUCAAUGGGGCCCACACUCAUGCUGUCCCAAGCGCCGAGGGCACCACGGCAGGGGCCCCCUCUGCCCCCCCAGCACACACGCUCCACGCAAUGCCACGGGAAUGUGUCUUUAUUAAAGAUGCAAGCAAGCACAGAAGGAUCAUGUGUAGUGCUCAGUAACAUCCAUACAGUACUAAAAAUAGAAAAAUAGAAAUGAAAUUUCACAGAAAGCAGCCUCCCUCACAGAAACACAGGCAAGGUGCUGCUGAGCCCACCGUGCAAUGCCACGUGCCACCUGCCUGGCCAUGCUUCUCCCCUUUACAAACAAAAACACAAGCUCCUCUCUGCACCCGUUUCAAAGACAGCACCAAGAACGGAGACCCCUUCCAUAGCAGCAACCCUCCUGACCACCACUUUGGGUGCUUCCCAGCCAUAUGAAUAACAGAGACAGCCCCCGUCCCCACGGGGUUGGCUGGCUGCUGGCCCCCGUGUCUCCAUCACUUCAGCGACUUUGGGCCAGAAAAUUAGGCAGUGAAGCAAUAAACACCUCACCUUUACUCCCACAGAUACGCGGAGGGACGAGGUGGACAGACAUGAAGUCGGCUGUGCCAACCUGAUCCAAGUGAAACAGGGCUACACUCGCAAAAUGGCUCUCCCACAGCCUAGUGCCUCGGGUGCACAGAACAAACUGAAUGAUAAAGACCCGGGGUUUUUGGAAAUUAACCAUUAAGCAUCUGCUUGCCAGCUAGUAGGCCAUCACUUCGGGAAACAAAAGUAAAGCUGCGGAAUUAAGCUCAAAUUCUGAUCGCAACUCAGUCCUUUGGUGGCCGACUCUCCGCUUACUGCAUGCAAAUGUUCCUGACUGCAUGAGACUCCCAUCUGCUGGCCUCACCUGGCAGCUUCCCUCAGCACAUGUCC